ensembl:snoRNA
AUCUUUCUGGUUCAUUCACGUGAUGAUUGGUGCGUUCACGGACCCAUCCGUGACAGGCGCGACCUGCUCUUGUUACGCUCUGCGCCUCAGCCUUUCUGAAC